CGGGGCCGCCCCGGCGCCAGCGGCGGCUCCGCUCCCGCCGGGCCGGGCCAGCACAACAUCUGUAAAAGUAAGGCUUUUAUCUGCCUCAGUUUCCCCUCUUCUCCCUGCUGGAAAAUGAAGAGGAGAAAACCAAGCUCAUCUCCAGCUGAGAACUGAAGAUGUGUGGCUAGAUGCUGACUGGAAUUUGUGCAGCUCAGAGGAAUAGCCAGGCUGCGGGGAGGGUGGCAAAGCCUCUUUAAAACGUGGAGACUUCAUGCUGGAGCCCAACAGAGAAGGUUGCUCAGUUGAAGCCGCUAAAUGCAAAUGGACCACUUGUGGCUGUUCCCUCUGGAAGAGUGGUGUGGGCUUUAUGCAAACAUGGAGAUGAGGCCUCAGGAGCUGGGAGAGCAGAGCAAUACAUGGAUUUGUGCUGGAAAAAGGUCAGCAUGGCUGUAGUUCACCUGUUCUCAGACUUGUGAGUCGGGAUACC